UACGUAGGGUGCGAGCGUUGUCCGGAAUUAUUGGGCGUAAAGAGCUUGUAGGCGGUUUGUCGCGUCUGCUGUGAAAAUCCGGGACUCAACCCCGGACCUGCAGUGGGUACGGGCAGACUAGAGUGUGGUAGGGGAGACUGGAAUUCCUGGUGUAGCGGUGAAAUGCGCAGAUAUCAGGAGGAACACCGAUGGCGAAGGCAGGUCUCUGGGCCGAUAUUGACGCUGAGGAGCGAAAGCGUGGGGAGCGAACAGG
rnacentral:rRNA from 1 species